rnacentral:rRNA from 1 species
UACGUAGGGGGCAAGCGUUGUCCGGAAUCAUUGGGCGUAAAGAGCGUGUAGGCGGCCAGAAAAGUCCGCUGUGAAAACUCGAGGCUCAACUUCGAGCUGUCGGUGGAAACUUUCUGGCUAGAGUCCGGAAGAGGAGAAUGGAAUUCCUGGUGUAGCGGUGAAAUGCGCAGAUAUCAGGAGGAACACCGGUGGCGAAGGCGGGUCUCUGGGCCGAUAUUGACGCUGAGGAGCGAAAGCGUGGGGAGCGAACAGG